CAGCCGCCGCGGUAAUACCGGCGGCCCGAGUGGCGGUCACUAUUAUUGGGCUUAAAGCGUCCGUAGCCGGGUUGGGAAGUCCUCCGGGAAAUCUGGCCGCUUAACGGUCAGAAUGCCGGAGGAUACUCCCAGCCUAGGGACCGGGAGAGGCCGAGGGGAUUCCCGGAGUAGGGGUGAAAUCCUAUAAUCCCGGGAGGGCCACCUGUGGGGAAGGCGCUCGGCUGGAACGCGUCCGACGGUGAGGGACGAAGGCCAGGGGAGCAAACCGGAUUAGAUACCCGGGUAGUCCUGGCUGUAAACGAUGCGGACUUUGUGUCGGACAAGCUAUGAGCUUGUCCGGUGCCGGAGGGAAACCGUUAAGUCCGCCGCCUGGGGAGUACGGCCGCAAGGCUGAAACUUAAAGGAAUUGGCGGG
rnacentral:rRNA from 1 species